rnacentral:pre_miRNA from 1 species
UAUAUACUCCCUCCGUCCGGAAAUACUUGUCAUCAAAAUGGAUAAAAGGGAUGUAUCUAGAUGUAUUUUAGUUUUAGAUACAUCCCUUUUUGUCCAUUUUGAUGACAAGUAUUUUCGGUCGGAGGGAGUAUAAU